GAUGAACGCUGGCGGCGUGCCUAAUACAUGCAAGUCGAGCGAACAGACGAGGAGCUUGCUCCUCUGACGUUAGCGGCGGACGGGUGAGUAACACGUGGAUAACCUACCUAUAAGACUGGGACAACUUCGGGAAACCGGAGCUAAUACCGGAUAACAUGUUGAACCGCAUGGUUCAACAGUGAAAGACGGUCUUGCUGUCACUUAUAGAUGGAUCCGCGCCGCAUUAGCUAGUUGGUAAGGUAACGGCUUACCAAGGCAACGAUGCGUAGCCGACCUGAGAGGGUGAUCGGCCACACUGGAACUGAGACACGGUCCAGACUCCUACGGGAGGCAGCAGUAGGGAAUCUUCCGCAAUGGGCGAAAGCCUGACGGAGCAACGCCGCGUGAGUGAAGAAGGUCUUCGGAUCGUAAAACUCUGUUAUUAGGGAAGAACAAAUGUGUAAGUAACUAUGCACGUCUUGACGGUACCUAAUCAGAAAGCCACGGCUAACUACGUG
rnacentral:rRNA from 1 species